rnacentral:rRNA from 1 species
UACGUAGGGCGCAAGCGUUGUCCGGAAUUAUUGGGCGUAAAGAGCUCGUAGGCGGUUUGUCGCGUCUGCUGUGAAAACUCGAGGCUCAAUCUCGGGCUUGCAGUGGGUACGGGCAGACUAGAGUGCGGUAGGGGUGACUGGAAUUCCUGGUGUAGCGGUGGAAUGCGCAGAUAUCAGGAGGAACACCGAUGGCGAAGGCAGGUCACUGGGCCGCAACUGACGCUGAGGAGCGAAAGCAUGGGGAGCGAACAGG